rnacentral:tRNA from 1 species
GUGCCAAUGGUGUAGUGGUAACAUGUAACCCUUCCAAGGUUGAGCUAGGGGUUCGAUUCCCCUUUGGCGCA